GCCAAAUCAUAUCAUUACAUGUAUACGAUGAUAAAUCUCAAUCAAGAUUGCAUAUUAAAAACAAAGAACGCAGAAAAACAAUAUGGCGGAGAAUAAGAAAAACACAGAAAAUACGGACGUAAAAAUGGAUUCAGACGAUAACGACGAACUGUCGAAAGCAAUGGAUUUUUAAUAAAUGACAUAUCGACUGAACAACAUCGUCCUACAACAGCAGCAUCUAUACAGUCAUCUCUCGACACAUCCGAUACACGGAUGAGAACGACUGAACGAUGUCGUCCUACAACAGCAGCAUCUAUACAGUCAUCUUCUUCAACACCGCUUGACACAUCCGGUACACGGAAGAGAACUAGAGGCAGACGUGCAGGCGCACGUUCAACAAGAGCGCUUCAUGCGUUUUCUUUAUAAACUGUCUUCCGCUCAUGAUAAUUGAGGAAAAAGAUAAUGCCACUUCCAAAAUCUGGAACUGAAACCAAAUCAGCCAAAAAAAAGAAUCAAAGUCAUCAAAUCAAGACUUGUGAGGAUCCCGAAGAUACUCUGACCACACGCUGCCAAGA